rnacentral:rRNA from 1 species
GGAGGGUGCAAGCGUUGUCCGGAUUUAUUGGGUUUAAAGGGUGCGUAGGCGGCCUAUUAAGUCAGUGGUGAAAGGUAUCAGCUUAACUGAUGACGUGCCAUUGAAACUAAUAGGCUUGAGUACAGACGAGGUAGGCGGAAUUUAUGGUGUAGCGGUGAAAUGCAUAGAUACCAUAAAGAACACCGAUAGCGAAGGCAGCUUACUAGGCUGAGACUGACGCUGAGGCACGAAAGCGUGGGGGGAGCGAACAGGAUUAGAUACCCUGGUAGUCCACGCUGUAAACGAUGAUUACUGGAUGUGUGCGAUAGACAGUACGCGUCUGAGCGAAAGCGUUAAGUAAUCCACCUGGGGAGUACGAUCGCAAGAUUG